GCAGGCCAUGCCCCCUUUGGCAUUUCCCAGCUUGACCAACAGGGAAAAAGGGCUAUCUUUGCCCCAGAGGGAGAGAAGAGAUGGCGGGUCUGCACCUGGCAGGGACACUGACUGUGCUCUUAGUCACAAGGAAUGCACAGGGAAACUGGACGGGCUCCCCAGGGAACAGCAGCAACCCAGGACUGGCACUCAGGGCUCCACGGGAUGCAACAACAGUGUUCCAUCAGCAAGAGGGAUCAUUGCUCAGGAGAGGUUACUUGACCCACAAGAUGGACGGCGUCAGUGGGAGGAGGUGUCCAUGGGGCGAUGUCUACAGGAUGACCAGCUGCCUCUUAAACUGUCCACGGCUGUUCCAGUGCUUCCCAGCCUGGCCAAGACAAUUAUGUACAAAGACCAGGGCUGCCAAACUGACUAUGUUAUCAUCCUGGAUCCCUUUGUGAAUGAUAUCAGGAAUGGGAAAGAGCCCCCCACUGCAGCGCCUCUCAGGAUCACGAAGCUGCAGCUGAAGGAAGAGCUCCACAGCAAGCUCCGUGAGCACAUAACAAAGAAGUGCCGGGAAGUACAGCUGCAACGCUUCCCUGGGCCAGUGCAGAGGUCCAUGGAAAUGAAGCAUCAAGCACUGUCCAAAAAUCCCCAUACUGUUGCUGCCACCUUACCACCACAAAGUCCCUUGGUACGCUUCAGCAAGCCCAAGACCCUUGUCUAUCCGGACCAGAUGAAGCAGAAGAAGCGUGGGGCAUCCAUUGCCUGCCCAGAGGUCUCCAGAACACCACGCUCCCACCCCAUGCCUGUCUACUUCUAUAGCCUUGAGUCCACGUUUAUGCCUGAGGAGCAGCGUGAGGCCCUGGAGCUGCACAUUCGUGCCAAGAAGCUGCAGAUCCUUGAGAGACGUCUGGGCAUGAAGCGUCCAUCCCAGUCAGCUGUGCCCCAGGAGGAGGGUGGCAGGGCAGCCCUAAGGACCAGCGCCCUGCCCAGCACACCCUGCAAACCUACAAAGAAGUCAAACACCUCCCGGAACCACGGAUCCCAGCAGCCAGACUCCACUGAGGCAGUGCGCAAGGGCAAGAGGAAGAAUGUGCGGAAACUCUACUCAGGCCUGAAGGGCAAGGCCCAUGGUCACAAGUAUCAAGCGAGGAAAGGAGUGACAGGGGACAGGGGCCAGGCAGCUCACUCCUCCAGUUCAAAUAAAUCCUCAUCCUAGCCCCAGG
rnacentral:lncRNA from 1 species